GACGAACGCUGGCGGCGUGCCUAACACAUGCAAGUCGAGCGAAUGAAGUUCCUUCGGGAACGGAUUUAGCGGCGGACGGGUGAGUAACACGUGGGCAACCUACCUCAUAGAGGGGAAUAGCCUUCCGAAAGGGAGAUUAAUACCGCAUAAGAUUGUAGUACCGCAUGGUACAGCAAUUAAAGGAGCAAUCCGCUAUGAGAUGGGCCCGCGGGGCAUUAGCUAGUUGGUGGGGUAACGGCUCACCAAGGCGACGAUGCGUAGCCGACUUGAGAGGGUGAGCGGCCACAUUGGGACUGAGACACGGCCCAGACUCCUACGGGAGGCAGCAGUGGGGAAUAUUGCACAAUGGGGGAAACCCUGAUGCAGCAACGCCGCGUGAGUGAUGACGGCCUUCGGGUUGUAAAGCUCUGUCUUCAGGGAAGAUAAUGACGGUACCUGAGGAGGAAGCCACGGCUAACUACGUGCCAGCCGCCGCUGUAA
rnacentral:rRNA from 1 species